rnacentral:rRNA from 1 species
CUGGUUUGAUCCUUGCAGCUAAUCAUCUUGCUUGUCUCAGAUGGAUUAAGCCAUGCAUGUCUAAGUACAUGCCGAAAUAAGGCGAAACCGCGAAUGGCUAAUUAAAUCAGUUAUGGUUCCUCUGUAAAACACAUUUUUCCCACCCCCCGUUAUUCUUCCUACUUGGAUAACUGUGCCACAUUCUAGAAGCCCUAACCUAUCUAUGCAGUGAGCCUGGAGCCCUUUGGGUAACGGGUGCUUUUAUUAGACCAAGAUCGAUCGGGUUUCGGCCCGUAUUGUGUGGUGACUCUGGAUAACUUUGUGCUGAUCGCAUGGCCACGAGCCGGCGACGUUUCUUUCAAGUGUCUGCCUUAUCAACUUUCGAUGGUAGGUUACUUGCUUACCAUGGUUGUUACGGGUAACGGAGAAUCAGGGUUCGAUUCCGGAGAGGGAGCCUGAGAAACGGCUACCACAUCCAAGGAAGGCAGCAGGCGCGCAAAUUACCCACUCCCGGCACGGGGAGGUAGUGACGAAAAAUAACAAUACGGGCGACUCUUUUGAGGCCCGUAAUUGAAAUGCGUUACCCUGUACAAAAUCCUUUAAACGAGGGCAUCACAUUUGGAGGCACGUCUGGUGCCAGCGCGCGGUAAUUCCAGCUCCAUGCGUUACUAAAGCUGCCUGCGGUUAAAAAGUCGUGUUGGAUCUCAGUUCCAGACGGAGUGCAUACCGAUGCACGGCUUCGGACUGACCAAUCCAAUGCCGGUUUUUCUUGUGCACGUUCAUUGUGUGCCUCGAGUGCGGCUGCUUUUACUUUGAAAAAAUUUUAGAGUGCUCAACGCAGGCGAGUCGCCUGAAUAAACUUGCAUGGAAUAAUAGAACAAGACCGCGUUUCUGUUCUGUUGGUUUUUGGAAUACGAGGUAAUGAUUAAGAGGGACGGACGGGGGCAUUCGUAUUGCGGCGCUAGAGGUGAAAUUCUUGGACCGUCGCAAGACGAACUACUGCGAAAGCAUUUGCCAAGAAUGUUUUCAUUGAUCAAGAACGAAAGUCAGAGGUUCGAAGGCGAUCAGAUACCGCCCUAGUUCUGACCAUAAACGAUGCCAACCAGCGAUCCGCCUGAGUUACUCAAAUGACUCGGCGGGCAGCUUCCGGGAAACCAAAGUUUUGGGUUCCGGGGGGCAGUAUGGUUGCCAAGCUGAAAUUAUAAGGAAUGAAGGCAAGGGCACACAGGGAGUGGGCUGCGGCUUAAUUUGACUCAACACGGGAAAACUUACCCGGCCCGGACACUGGGAGGAUUGACAGAUUGAGAGCUCUUUCUUGAUUCGGUGGAUGGUGGUGCAUGGCCGUUCUUAGUUGGUGGAGCGAUUUGUCUGGUUAAUUCCGAUAACGAACGAGACUCUAGCCUAUUAAAUAGGUGCGGGGUUCCCAGCACCUUACAACCUUCUUAGAGGGACAAGCGGCUCCUAGCCGCACGAAACAGAGCAAUAACAGGUCUGUGAUGCCCUUAGAUGUCCGGGGCCGCGCGCGCGCUACACUGAAGGAAGCAGCGUGUCUUUAUCCCUGUCUGAAAAGACUGGGUAACCCGUGGAACUUCUUUGUGAUGUUGGGAUAGGGGCUUGCAAUUGUUCCCCUUGAACGAGGAAUUCCCAGUAAGCGCGAGUCAUAAGCUCGCGUUGAUUACGUCCCUGCCCUUUGUACACACCGCCCGUCGCUACUACCGAUUGAAUGAUUUAGUGAGGUCUUCGGACCGAUGUCCGGCGCGGCCUUUCGGUUGCGCCGGUCUGUUGGAAAGAUGACCAAACUUGAUCAUUUAGAGGAAGUAAAAGUCGUAACAAGGUUUCCGUAGGUGAACCUGCGGAAG